rnacentral:rRNA from 1 species
AGGGUGAACGCUGGCGGUAUGGAUAAGGCAUGCAAGUCGAACGGGUUUAGACCCGUGGCAAACGAGGUAGUAACACGUAGGAACGUCCCCCAGAGUCGGGCAUAUUCCGUCGAAAGACGGUGCAAUUCCCGAUGGUCCCGCAAGGGUAAAGAUUUAUCGCUUUGGGAGCGGCCUGCGUAAUAUCAGCUAGUUGGUGAGGUAAUGGCUCACCAAGGCUAUGACGUUUAGGGGACCUGAGAGGGUGACCCCCACCGAUGAAACUGAGACACGGUUCAUACCCCUACGGGGGGCCGCAGCCGAGAAUAUUCGACAAUGGGCGCAAGCCUGAUCGAGCGAUACCGCGUGGUGGAUGAAGCGCUUCGGCGCGUAAACACCUUUUAUGAGGGAAGAAGUUAUUGACAUUACCUCAUGAAUAAGGGGCUCCUAACUCUGUGCCAGCAGGAGCGGUAAUACAGAGGCCCCAAGCGUUACCCGGAAUUACUGGGCGUAAAGAGUGCGUAGGUGGUCGUGUUAGUCGUCUGUCAAAACCCAGGGCUCAACCCUGGAUCCGCAGGCGAAACGGCACGACUUGAGAGCGUGAGAGGUACAUGGAACCCAUGGUGUAGGGGUGAAAUCCGUUGAUAUCAUGGGGAACACCGAAAGCGAAGGCAAUGUACUGGCGCGUUUCUGACACUCAAGCACGAAAGCGUGGGUAGCGAACGGGAUUAGAUACCCCGGUAGUCCACGCCCUAAACUAUGUCCGCUGGUUUUCUGGAGUAUCGACCCUCUAGGAGACGAAGCUAACGCGUUAAGCGGACC